CGUUUCACCUUCAGUCUGACACCUUUCAAUGAUGGACGACAUGACGCUUGAUGAAAACAACAACACAUGCAGGUCCUGCAGAAUAAAUACAAUAAUGACACUUAAACAGCUCAUUUUCCUGCUCAUCUGCACAUAACUCUGACAGGCAGACCGUUAAAAUGAAGGAAUCCAGCAUGUCAACGUGAUUCACCUCUAAUGAAGUGUUGUGGACUCUAAGCCUGUUGAACAGAAGCAGAGACGUGUGGACAGACACUGACUGUACUGAUGAGGAUCAUCUGCUGCUGCACAGGCUGUAAAGUAUAACCCCUGCUGGACACGGCUCCGGAAGCUCCAGGGGGAGACCGUACUGGUAUCCCCCCUUCUUCAGGCGCGCCUCACACUCACUCACCAUUCACUCAUAUCGCAGAGUUCUGGCUGGCAUUGAACCAGCAACCCCUACAGCCGUGGGGCAGCGCUCUUACCACAGACAUAUUAUCUGGAUGCACACUCAGAUUUGCAAGCUGAGACUGCAUAUGUCAGACUUGCUGUGUUAACAAUCCACCUAAUGGAGCUAGUGAUGUCACUGUGAGGGGUGGGGUUAAGGGUUGGGUUAAGUGUGAGCAAUAAAACCAUUUCAUGCAAUUUGCAUCCAGACCCCUCUCACCACAGAUCUCCUGACUGAACACCUGCUGGAGCUGAUGUUAGACCGCUGAGCUGUGAACUCACAAUAAAGAAUUGAAUAAAAAUAAACUUGUUGUGUUGA